AUAAGGGCGACCGAUUGUGGGGAGGAAGCGUGGAGCGAAGCUGCGGGCCGAUGAACAAGAAGCGGAUAGAAGGCGCUGCCGACCAGGCACUUUCGGCGGGCGGGCGCCCAAGGGUUCGGCAC
rfam:Bradyrhizobium erythrophlei strain GAS478 genome assembly, contig: Ga0132009_11